AGUCGAGAUAAAGCGACGAAGAAAAAGAGAUCCGCAGGCUUUGUGAUUCGCAGCGAGCGUGAAAAUACAUUUUGCUUUGCCAAUUUUUAUUUUCUCUUUCAUUCUUUUUCUCUUGUACUUGAGGCCAAAAACACUUGACCAACAGCAGGAUCACGUGACCUCGGAAAAAAACGGCUCUUUUCGUUUUCCUUUCAUAUUUUCGAGUUUUUGUUUUUUCUUCGCGUUAAACGGACCUCGCGCAGUACACCUCGGACGGAACAAAAUCGAGCUCGUGAGACCGCCGAUCCCAAGGGGGACCAAGUGCGACCGUUUGCUUCGUUUUUUCGCAACGAGAAGGGAACGCUCUACGCCAAAGUCCCGUUCGGAGAGGCCUCGCUCGAGAAAACUCCGCAGAACGAUCCAAAAGAAUUUGCCAAUUCUGAACGGUGCGAUGUUCAUUGAAAGAUCUGCACUUCGGUUCUCUUGAUUGUUUGUACUGAAUAUUAAAACUGGUUUAUUAUCACUAAAGGAUGAAUAUCAAAACGGAAAUUGCUGGGAUUCAAUGAGUCGGUUGAAUGGAAAUAAUUUAACAAAUUCUUAUCGAGUUUACAACGGGUUCCUGAACUCUGGGUUCAAAUCUCUCGACUACGAUGUGUCAUCGAUCAAACGACGUAAACUGGAUCUUUGCAAACGGAUAUUCUCGCCUCUUGCAGAAUCCUCAAUCUGGGACCAAGGGGAACGCCCAUCUUUUGGAGUCUCUCUUCACUCAAUAAAUCCUUCAAGCGACAACCAACUGAACUGUUGUUCAAUCAACGGAGUCUAACGAAGUAAAUACCUCGUAGCCAAGUUCCCUCAGAAAAAGUCGUAUGAGCGGUGGUUCAGUGCCAAAGAACUUGGUCAACUUUUUAACUCUCGAGGGAUUCGAAAGUGCGGGAAGCUCCGAAUCUUUGAUCAACGGUUGAGAUUGCGAUCUCACCAUUGCCAUGCUCGUUUGGGUUCUCAGAGCUGCUAUUUCCCCUCGGAUAUUCUCCAUUUCCUGUGGAAUUAAUUACAGUCAUGAUUCCCAGGAGUUUUCAUCAUUACCGAGGAAACGAAGCACGAAGCCAGACGCGAGGUGUCAUUUAGGAAACGAAUAAAAAAUCGAAUAACCUGAAUCAUCAGAUGCUGAGUCCGCAUUUCCGAGGAGAGAUGAGCCACUGAUCUAGCGAGUGUUACCACAGUGUGUCCAGCGAGUCUGUUGGGACUGAAAUUCCUUCGAGUUUUUCAAUCAGAUGCAAAUUCACCUUAACAUCCUUCGCCUUCUUCAUUCGAUCGUCGAUCACGUGUGACCUUCG